rnacentral:tRNA from 2 species
AGAAACUUAGGAUCAGACCUAAACCAGGAGCCUUCAAAGCCCCAAACAAGAGAUAAAUCCUCUUAGUUUCUG